UACCAGCACCCCGAGUGGUCGGGACGAUUAUUGGGCCUAAAGCAUCCGUAGCUUGUUCUGCAAGUCCUCCGUUAAAUCCAGCUGCUCAACAGAUGGGCCGCGGAGGAUACUACAGAGCUAGGAGGCAGGAGAGGCAAGCGGUACUCAGUGGGUAGGGGUAAAAUCCGUUGAUCCAUUGAAGACCACCAGUGGCGAAGGCGGCUUGCCAGAACGCGCUCGACGGUGAGGGAUGAAAGCUGGGGGAGCAAACCGG
rnacentral:rRNA from 1 species